ensembl:lncRNA
CUAAACUUUAUAUCUGUAUGGAUAUCUGUAUGUUUAUAGCAGCUUUAUUUACGAUAGCCCAAACUGGAAUCAACCUAGAUGUCCUUCAACAAGCGAAUGAUUAAACCAGCCAUGGUCCCCCUGCACUGUGGAAUACUACUCAGGUGUGGGUAGGCAAGCCACCUGCUUGCCUCCAGGGAGUCAUGCUGAGUGAAGAGCCAGUCCCCGAAGUUAUAUAACGUGCAACUCCCCGAUGGGCGUGAGUUUGAGUGAACUCCGGGAAUUGGUGAUGGACAGGGAGGCCUGGCGUGCUGCGAUUCAUGGGGUCGCAAAGAGUCGGACACGACUGAGCGACUGAGCUGAACUGAACUGAACUUAUGUGGAGUUGCUUUUCAGCUGCUGAGUAGUGUCUGACCCUUUGUGACCCCAUGGACUGCAACAUAUAACAUUCUUGAAAUGACAGCUUUAUGGAAAUGGAGAACAGCUGAGCGGCUAUCAAGGUGACUCGAGUGCCUGGUGCCACUGGGAGGCACUGGCUCAGGACACAGAGUCAGGAACACUAAGGAGGGGACUCCAGCCCAGGCCUGUGCUGGGGCUGCUGUCCCAUCUGAUCCCUGGAGGGUAAAGAAAAGGCAGGAAGGGGUUGCAGCGACUGGCCCAAGGUCACCUGCUAGGAAGUGCCGCUGGACGCGCCAACCCGCCCUCUCAGUGGCACCGAGCACCUGCUGCCCACUAGAGCAAGACCGGCAAGGCUGUGCCGAGGUGAGCCCAGGUGCCCUGUGAGUGCGCCCCAGCUGUGUCCAAGUGUCCCAGGUGCGUCUCAGGGGAGCCCGGAGUGAGUCUAGGGCGAGCCCCGGGCGUGUCUCGGGGAGCCCCGGGCGUGUCCCGGGCGUGUCCCGGGCGAGCCCCGGGCGUGUCUCGGGGGGCCCCGGGCGUGCCCCUGGCCUCUCCAUCCGCUCUCCUGCCUCUCUCCGUGGGGCCUCAGCCCCAGGUGCAGUCGCUGUGUCCUGCAUGCUGCUCUGUUUCCACCUGGACGCUUCUCUUGGCAUUCCUGCUCCACCAGCCACACCGGUGAGGGCAGGGGCUGACGGGGAGCUGACUCCUCGGCAGGAGCCAGGGCCCCAGGCGAGGACGCCACCAGCCUGACACGCUGUUCUCAGGGCCAGGUUGGCACGAGUGUCCGGGCUCACAUACUGACCGGUGCCCUGGCCAGGGUGUCCCCUGGGCAGGGUCUCGCCUGUGGACACGCGGGAAGUCUACUCAUAAACCAGCAUCCGCUGGUCUCCUCGCUGAUUGCUUUUCUAAAGACGAAGAUGGCCCACGGUGAGGAAAACCAGCCAUGUUCGUGAACCGAGGCUCCUCCUGGGCCCCGUGUCCCCACCAGGGAGCAGAUGAGGCUCCGGCCCGUCUGCUCGGGCCUGCGGG